rnacentral:lncRNA from 1 species
UUUCAGUACAGAAAUGCUGUUUUAUGGUUCUUAAGUCUUAAAAGCGGUGUGACUUUUUUUUUUCCAAGUGUCUAGUUAAGACUUCACUUGCCGAGCUGAUGAUGGUAGCUGGCCUUGAAUCUGAGCUGGAGCAGACCCUCAGUGCCCAGAAACACCGUUUCACCCCUGCAGCAGCGGUUCCUUCCAGCGUGCAGCAGCGGUUCUUUCCAGCGUCCAGCUUCUUACAACGUCUCCAGCACCAGGCUUCGGCAUACCAGCAGCAGCCUGCAGAGCGCCCACUCCUCAGAUGUCUCAGAUUUGCAGGCCCUUCCUUUGAGCUCUUAGGGGACCAGCAGCAGCUGGCCUCUGCUCUCUUUCUUAGACGUUGGAUUUCAGCAAUGCAGUGUUUGUCCUACUUCUGGAUUCUGAUACUCAGCCUCUGCCCUUUGUUCUGGCAGCCCUGGGAUGGUAACUGCUUCCUGCAGUUAUUGCCUCUGUGUUUCUUCAGCAUUCUUUUUUUUUUGAGGAAGAUUAGCCCUGAGCUAACAUCUGCUACAAUCCUCCUCUUUUUGCUGAGGAAGACUGGCCCUGAGCUAACAUCCGUGCCCAUCUUCCUCUACUUUAUAUGUGGGAUGCCUGCCACAGCAUGGCUUGAUAAGCGGUGCAUACGUCCGCCCCAGGGAUUCGAACCAGCGAACCCUGGCUGCCAAAGCGGAAUGAGCAAACUUAACCACUGCGCCACUGGGCUGCCCCUUCAGCAUUCUUAUUUGAUUUUUCAGCCCUCCAAUUGCCUAAAUUAAAAUCUCUCUGUUAAAAUAACUAGUGCGGCUCUGAUUUCCUGACUGAGAUAGAGAUAGAGAUAGAGCCAGUGCCUGCCUCCCAAUAAAAGUCAAAAGCCCUUGAGGCCA